AAUAUUGCGCAAUGGAGGGAACCCUGACGCAGCGACGCCGCGUGAGCGAUGAAGGCUUUCGGAUCGUAAAGCUCUGUCCUUGGGGACGAAGGCGGUCAUUUUUGGCCACUUGACGGUACCCAUGGAGGAAGCCCCGGCUAACUACGUGCCAGCAGCCGCGGUAAUACGUAGGGGGCAAGCGUUGUCCGGAAUUAUUGGGCGUAAAGGGUGCGUAGGCGGCCUUUUAAGUCAGAUGUGAAAGACCACGGCUUAACCGUGGGGUUGAAUUUGAAAGUGGAGGGCUUGAGUAUCGGAGAGGGUAGUGGAAUUCCCAGUGUAGCGGUGGAAUGCGUAGAUAUUGGGAGGAACACCAGUGGCGAAGGCGACUACCUGGACGAAAACUGACGCUGAGGCACGAAAGCUAGGGGAGCAAACA
rnacentral:rRNA from 1 species